rnacentral:rRNA from 1 species
UACGAAGGGGGCGAGCGUUGUUCGGAUUUACUGGGCGUAAAGGGCGCGUAGGCGGCCCUCCUAGUCGCGUGUGAAAGCCCCCGGCUCAACUGGGGAGGGUCACGCGAUACUGAUCGACUCGAAGGCAGGAGAGGGUAGUGGAAUUCCCGGUGUAGUGGUGAAAUGCGUAGAUAUCGGGAGGAACACCAGUGGCGAAGGCGACUACCUGGCCUGUUCUUGACGCUGAGGCGCGAAAGCUAGGGGAGCAAACGGG